UACCCGCAGCACAAGUGGUGGUCAUUAUUAUUGGGCCUAAAGCGUCCGUAGCUGGCCUGUUAGAUGCCUGGGUAAAUCGAUGCGCUUAACAUAUCGAAUUCCGGGUAGACCGGCAGGCUCGAGACCGGGAGAGGUGUAGGCUACUCGGGGGGUAGGGGUAAAAUCCUGUAAUCCUUCGGGGAGGACCAGUGGCGAAGGCGCUACACUAGAACGGCUCUGACAGUGAGGGACGAAGCCCUGGGGCGCAAACCGG
rnacentral:rRNA from 1 species